rnacentral:sRNA from 1 species
UGGAAGUAGUGAAAUUUUCUUGCGUGAA